rnacentral:misc_RNA from 1 species
UUAUUAGGCUCUCAGUGAGGUUUACAAAUUAAAAAUAACUCUAAUAUCACUAAAUUUUGAGUGAUUUCUUGUUUCAUUUAAUUCUUAAAAGCGCAAUUUCUGUUGGGUGUGUUGUCAGUUUAUUUAUACACAUCGUUGCUAAAAAAUAAAAAGAAAAAGCCAUAUUGCCCUUGGUACGAUUAAGAAGCCGAUAAGAGUAUUAGAUUUUUUAAAUGAUGAUGCAUUAAUAAAUAAUUGAAAAUUAUUCCAA